UACGGGGGGGGCAAGCGUUGUUCGGAAUUACUGGGCGUAAAGGGCUCGUAGGCGGCCAACUAAGUCAUACGUGAAAUCCCUCGGCUUAACCUGGGAACUGCGUCUGAUACUGGAUGGCUUGAAUUCGGGAGAGGGAUGCAGAAUUCCAGGUGUAGCGGUGAAAUGCGUAGAUAUCUGGAGGAAUACCGGUGGCGAAGGCGGCAUCCUGGACCGACAUUGACGCUGAUGAGCGAAAGCUAGGGGAGCAAACGGG
rnacentral:rRNA from 1 species